rnacentral:rRNA from 1 species
AGCGAACGCUGGCGGCAGGCCUAACACAUGCAAGUCGAACGAACCCUUCGGGGUUAGUGGCGGACGGGUGAGUAACACGUGGGAACGUGCCUUUAGGUUCGGAAUAACUCAGGGAAACUUGUGCUAAUACCGAAUGUGCCCUUCGGGGGCAAGAUUUAUCGCCUUUAGAGCGGCCCGCGUCUGGUUAGCUAGUUGGAGAGGUAAAGGCUCACCAAGGCUACGAUCAGUAGCUGGUCUGAGAGGAUGACCAGCCACAUUGGGACUGAGACACGGCCCAAACUCCUACGGGAGGAAGCAGUGGGGAAUCUUGCGCAAUGGGCGAAAGCCUGACGCAGCCAUGCCGCGUGGAUGAUGAAGGUCUUAGGAUUGUAAAAUCCUUUCACCGGUGAAGAUAAUGACUGUAGCCGGAGAAGAAGCCCCGGCUAACUUCGUGCCAGCCGCCGCCGUAAUAC